rnacentral:tRNA from 1 species
GUUCAACGGUUAAGCGAAAACGUCAAAGCGACUGAAAAUCCGUGUGUCGGCGGUUCGAUCCCGCCCCCGACCA